rfam:Rattus norvegicus chromosome 5, whole genome shotgun sequence.
GGGGAUUUAGCUCAGUUGUACAGCGUUUGCCUAGCAAGCACAAGGCCCUGGGUUCGGUCCCCAGCUCCCA